UUAGAAACCCUGCUGGAGACAAAUCCUGGGCUCGGUGGACAUUUGGUGUGAUCAGCUGUGGCUCUCAGUAUUCUAACACUCAUCAUGUGCCUCACUGGUGUCGGGAGAGAUUUGGGCUGUGUACUAAUGGCUGUGGAGUUUUACCUUAGCAGUGCAAGUCCUCUGAAUCUGUGAAUCACAUGAGAAUGGAUCUUUUUAGGAUACUAUAGAUAUCAGAUACACAACUCUCAUUACAACAGCACAGGAAGAAAGGAAGGUGGAUGAACCUGAUCUGAGAUUUCUGCGUGAAUAAGGUUUUCUUAGCUAAAUAGAGGCUCUUUUCAUGUGAAAAAAACCCAAACUUGCAGACUAUUGACCUGUGUAACUAAAUUUAUGAAGUUUUCUAAAAGCACAUUAUUGACUUUUUUAUCUGUGAUUCAGUGUUGCUACAUUUUAUGAUGUAAAUGUGUACUUAGGAGCCUUUAUAAAAUGCAGAUU